rnacentral:lncRNA from 1 species
ACAAAUGAUUUGUUAGGCAUGCAGGUUUGUAUUGUUUCUGAUACUAUAAGGACAACAAAUACAGCUCUUUUUUUUCAAACUGCUACACCCAGGAAGCUGGAAGAAGAGUAGAUAUUACAUAUUGAGUUUCUGAAAAAUAUAAAAGUUCCUGAGGGUAUACACCUGAAAGUAAAACAGGUAGGUCUUAGAUAUGCAUAUGUUUAUCCCUCUAGGCAAUGCCAAAUUGUUUUUUCAUACUUGUUCUAAUUAACAUUUCCCCUAGUGGUAGAUGACUGUGAAGGCAGAAUAAUGGCCCUCCAAAGAUGUACACAUCCUAAUACCUGGAAUCUGUGAAUAUGUUACCUUACAUGGCAAAAAUGAUUUGCAAACAUAAAUUAAGAACCUUCAGAUGGGGAGACUAUCUUGGAUUAUCCAGGUUGGUACAAUAAACAAAGGCCUUUAAAAGGCAGAAUUGUCCAUUAGAGUGAUUUGAUGUGAGAAGAAUUCAACCUGCUUUUGCUGGUUUUGAAGAUGGCAGA